AAAAGAAAUCAACCGAGAUUCCCCCAGUAGCGGCGAGCGAACGGGGAGCAGCCCAGAGCCUGAAUCAGUGUGUGUGUUAGUGGAAGCGUCUGGAAAGGCGCGCGAUACAGGGUGACAGCCCCGUACACAAAAAUGCACAUAUUGUGAGCUCGAUGAGUAGGGCGGGACACGUGGUAUCCUGUCUGAAUAUGGGGGGACCAUC
rnacentral:rRNA from 14 species